rnacentral:rRNA from 1 species
ACAUUUCGGGUAGCAAUAUUCGGAAUGUUUAGCAGCGCAAGGGUGCGUAACACGUGGGUAAUUUGCCAUGAAGCUGGGGAUAACUCCGGGAAACCGGAGCUAAUACCGAAUGUGACCAUUUUUGGGCAUCCAAAGAUGUUUAAAGCUGGGGACCGCAAGGCCUGGCACUUCAUGAUGAGCCCGCGGCCUAUCAGCUAGUUGGCGAGGUAACGGCUCACCAAGGCUAAGACGGGUAGCUGGUCUGAGAGGACGACCAGCCACACUGGAACUGAGACACGGUCCAGACACCUACGGGUGGCAGCAGUCGAGAAUUUUUCACAAUGGGCGCAAGCCUGAUGGAGCGACGCCGCGUGGGGGAUGAAGGGCUUCGGCUCGUAAACCCCUGUCAGUUGCGAACAAAGUUUACCCGAUAACACCGGGUGAAUUGAUAGUAGUGACAGAGGAAGGGACGGCUAACUCUGUGCCAGCAGCCGCGGUAAUACAGAGGUCCCGAGCGUUGUUCGGAUUCACUGGGCGUAAAGGGUGCGUAGGCGGUUCUGAAAGUCUGAUGUGAAAUCUCCAGGCCCAACCUGGAAAUGGCAUUAGAAACUACAGGGCUAGAGGCUUGGAGGGGGAACUGGAAUGCUCGGUGUAGCAGUGAAAUGCGUAGAGAUCGAGCGGAACACCAGUGGCGAAGGCGAGUUCCUGGACAAGUCCUGACGCUGAGGCACGAAAGCCAGGGGAGCAAACAGGAUUAGAUACCCUGGUAGUCCUGGCUGUAAACGGUGCACGUUUGCUGUGAGAGGAAUCGACCCCUUUCGUGGCGGAGCUAACGCGAUAAACGUG